AAAAUCUUUCUAGAGGACUUUCUUCCCUUCCCAACAGCCUGCAAUGUGGACUUCUGUUCCCUCAGUAACAAACCGUACAUGUCCUUCCUGAACUGAGAACGAACCUGCAGCAUCCAGAGUAGCUCUAAGAAGCAGGAGAAGACACAAAAGGCAUGCAGCUCCCUGCUGCUCUCCGGAAAGGGGAGAGAAGCGCAGCUGCCUCCGUUCAAGGCUGGGUGAGAGUGAUGAGUCAAAUGACUGUCAUCAUUUGGAUUCUGACAUUUCUUCCUCUACAGAGAAAAAGAAAGAGUCUGCUAUCGUGACUCUGAGCUUCUUGAGGUUGGGAACAUCGUUUGUGCCUGUCACAUCUUUAUGGGCCCAAGAAUAGAGACGAUAGGCAAAAGUGGAGUAAAGAAUAAAGGAAGAAUAAACAUUUUUAAAAUCAGUCUCCAAAGAGUUUUCCUUCUAGCAGGAUGGGUACACAAAGAAUAUUUACCUGGUUGGAAUGU
rnacentral:lncRNA from 1 species